GUGAUUGAGAAACUAGUGACAUCUCCUCACUUGAUUGGACAUGAUGCAAGAGAGGACCUGUACAACAUGCUACCGGCUAGUUUAAGAGGAGCCCUCAGGUCGAAACUAAAGCCAUUUGCCAAGAGCUUGACAUCAUCAGUUUAUGAUACGGUUCUUGCUGGAGAAUGGAAUGAAGCAAUGAUGGGGAUUCUAGAAUGGCUCGCUCCGCUUGCUCAUAACAUGAUAAGAUGGCAAUCCGAGCGGAGCAUCAUCAGUUUAUGACACGGUUCUUGCUGGAGAAUGGAAUGAAGCAAUGCUGGGGAUUCUAGAAUGGCUCGCUCCGCUUGCUCAUAACAUGAUAAGAUGGCAAUCUGAGCGGAGCUUUGAGCAUCAGAACUUUGUUUCAAGAACGAAUGUGCUGCUUGUACAAACCCUUUAUUAUGCAAAUCAAGAAAAGACAGAAUCAACAAUUACAGAGCUACUCGUCGGUCUGAAUUACAUAUGGAGGUACGGAAGAGAAGUGAAUGCAAAAGCAAUAGAGGAAUGUGCUAGUGCUAGAAUGAUGUUUAAUGAUGACUACUUGGAUGAGUGAUUUUGGCUUUGAACGGUUGGAGUUUAGAAACUGGUCCAUGGCAAAAUGCUUCUCUUCAGAAGCAAAUCACAAGACGUCUCCGCCUGGUUUUUCUCAGUUGCUGCUGAUUCGAGCUACUCUGGCGAUCAUAUUCCAUAAUAUUCUUUAUUCGUUAAAGGGGUGACGAAUACUGCAGGAAUGUAACUUUAAGCUUCUGAACAUUCUUUCAGGUCAGUAAGCGAUGACCUUUUUUCCAUUUUGCCAGGAAAACUUGGAUCUCAUUCGAUAUAUCAGAGUCCACGCUAUAAAUUAAAUGUCUUGUUAUUUGAUAAAUGUAUAGAAUUAGCUGAGGUUGUUUCUAGCUUUGUAAAUUUACAUAGCAAAGGCUUUCCCUUAAUAUAUAAACAAUGAAGGUUUGGCGCGUAGAUUGAACUGUACUUUCC
rnacentral:lncRNA from 1 species